CCAAAUAAUCCAUUAAUAGGAAAAUGCCUGGGCUAGCCUGAAGUGCAACAUGACAAAUCAGCACAAUAAUUCCACUUGAAACAAGCAAACUCUGAUUUGUCAUUGCCUCCACAAUCCAGCUGCACUGCUCUAUCCUGAGGCACCACCUUACUUCUGCUCCAUCAGACAAAAAGUAGUUCUUCAGUCCAGGAAACUACAGUAUGUAAUCAUAAAAAGAAAUCUACAAUGAUCUAGAAAACUCUAUGGGGAAAGAUGACACUAUAUAGGCCCUCUAAAAAACUCCAUUAGAUUCAAAUCACACCUGUCACAAGUCAACUGAAAGGGGAAUCAUGCAAUACUGAUCUACAGUUCUGUUUACAUCAUACUAGUAUCCACAUUGACUUCCAUUAUGGCUCCUUAAUCUACCAGCUACACUGUCUUGACUGGUUCUUUCUGAAACUGCCAGUUUUGCCAGCAUUCAUUGAGAUGGGCCACAACUGUCCACUGAGGAUUCUAGGGCUUCCAGAGCUCUCACUGUAUUGAGAUAGUAUCAAGCCUCUGUGGGCUUGCCACUAACGGAAGAGGGGAGGACAGGACAAGACCAUUGGAUGGAGGCAUCCGGAGGCAGCGGAUGGGACCAGCAACAAAGGUGGCAGCAACAGCCCUUUCCCUCCCCCAUUACCUGGAUGCUGGAAGGGGGACCCUGUUUGGCGUGCCAAACAGCUGACCAGUGUGAAGAAGCAGCGGAAAGCUGGAAGCUUGCCUCGCUUCCCAGCCUGGCUAUUCUUACUGACAAUCUAGAUGUGUUUCCUCCUGUGAGCAAAGAGUCAAGGAUGACUGAAGACAUAGCCACAAGGAAGAGAAAAGAUGAUGACUACUGUGAAGAAUGAAGAAUCAGGAGUAGACUGGACCUUUGCAAUCCUUAUGAAAAAGGGACCAAACGGGAGAUCACCCACAAGCAAAAUGAACGGCAGCUCAUCAUCAUAAGUCCAAAAUAAUGGCCCCACCGUAUUGAAACCAAAUACUGGUGGUGAGAGCCCUUUCAUUAUAUGUUAAUGAAUAGCUGAAUAGCUAUCUGUUGAAUGCUUAUAUUUAAAUUUUUGCUUUAAGAGGACAUUGCAUCUGAUUGUCUAUAUGACUCUUUGCAACUCUAUAAUUCUAAAGUUGAUGUAGUUGUUUGUAGAGAGUAUUUAUUCAGCAUAAUCUGGAAAAGAGGAAAACAGAAAUUAUUUCUACCAUCUGGUUACCAUUUAGUUCUUGAUCUAAUUUAAAGCUUAG